GCCGGCGCAGGCGCAGAGAGGCCCACAGCUCCGGCGCAGGCGCAGAGAGGCAGAAGGCCCAUGACGGGAAGGUGAGACACCUGGGGCAAAGAAAAAAAAAAAAAUGCGCCGCGAAGCAGUGUCUGGGUCAUCCACGGACGAAAGUUUUUUCCCAUCAGCCCUUGCGCUGGGCCCCAGGGACCCUGGCAUCCCUGGUUCGCGCCCAUGGUGUGCCUCGGGCGACUAGGCGUACCCCAACUCGGACAGAAGCCCCAUGAGUGGAAGUUGAAGUUUGUGGGAAGAGAGGAGCCUAAUGUCCACCUAAAACCUGGUGUUCACCUGGGAUCUGAUGUUCAGCUGAAGACCGGAAUUCCACCUGGAGCCGAGGAAUCCACCCAGGGACUGGUGUUGAACUGGGGCCUGAUGACCACCCGGGGACAAGGUGCAGUGGCUUCUAUGUUUUGGGUUGAUGCUGAAUUAGGGAGUGAUGUUUACCUUGAUGGUAUCAUAACUAUUGUGGAUUCAAAAUAUGGAUUAAAACAUUUAACAGAAGAGAAACCUGAUGGCCUUAUCAAUGAAGCUACUAGGCAAGUUGCUUUGGCAGAUAUCAUUCUCAUUAAUAAAACAGACUUGGUUCCAGAAGAAGAUGUAAAGAAAUUAAGAACGACAAUUAGAUCCAUAAAUGGACUAGGACAAAUCUUAGAAACACAAAGAUCAAGAGACCGAGAGGUUGAUGUGACUCCCAAUAUCGGAGGAAGUAUACACCCCCAUGUGAGAUGGUCCUUAAUAAUAUUCCACGGCGGAGGGGGUGAUAUGACUACAUACAUGGCAGAAAGUGGAAACCCCCCAGGGAUAUUAUUCCCACGAUCCUGGAGGGAAGAAGAUGAUGUUACUUUCAAUAUGAGAGAAGGUGGAUGAAGUGGUGGACUGCCCCUCCACACCUGUGGACACGCCCCCACUGAUAUUCCUUCUAAUUGCAACGUGGGAGAGGAGGAUAUGACACACGAUAUCGCAGGGAGUAGAAACACCCCUGUGAUACUGUUCUUAAUAUUCAGGGAGGAAGAGGAUGAUAUUACUCCCAAUACAGACGGGUGUACACCCUCUGUACACCGAGGGUGUACGCCCGUCUGUGAAAGAGUUUGUAAUCUCCAGAGGGGGAGAUGAUAUUACUCACAAUAUGGUAAAGAGGCUGUGAGUCCACGGAGGAUCCUCAGAGCCAGCGGGGGAAGAGGGGCUGGCUCUCAGUCCCCGCCUCGCGGGGGUGACUCCCCCCACUGUGAUGGGGGUCCUAAGAGCCAGUGGGGGAAGAGGGGCUGGCUCUGAGACCCCGCCUCGUGGGGGGUGCCUCCCCACCCUGCGAUGGGGAUCCUAAUGGCCAGUGGGGGAAGAGGGGCUGGCUCUGAGACACCGCCUCGCGGAGUUGCCUCCCCCCCCUGCGAUGGGGGUCCUAAGGGCCAGUGGGGGAAGAGGGGCUGGCUCUGAGACCCCGCCUCGCUGGGGGUGCCUCCCCCCACUGCGAUGGGGGUCCUGAGAGCCAGUGGGGGAAGAGGGGCUGGCUCUGAGACCCCGCCUCGCGGGGGGUGCCUCCUCCCCCUGCGAUGGGUGUCCUAAGAGCCAGUGGGGGAAUAGGGGCUGGCUCUCAGUCACCGCCUCGCGGGGGUGCCUCCGCCCGCUGCGAUGGGGUUCCUAAGAGCCAGGGGGGGAAGAGGGGUUGGCUCCCAGUCCCCGCCUCGCCGGGGGUGCCUCCUCCCCCUGCGAUGGGGGUCCUAAGGGCCCAGGAGGAAGAGGGGCUCUCUCUCAGUCCCCGCCUCGCAGGGAGUGCCUCCCCUACCUGCGAAGGGGGUCCUAAGAGCCAGUGGGGGAAGAGGGGCUGGCUCUGAGACCCCGCCUCGCGGGGGGUGCCUCCCCCCCAUUCGAUGGGGGUCCUAAGGGCCAGUGGGGGAAGAGGGGCUGGCUCUGAGACCCCGCCUCGCGGGGGGUGCCUCCCCCCUCUGCGAUGGGGGUCCCAAGACACAGGGGGGGAAGAGGCGCAGCCUCUCUGUCCCGGCCUCGCGGGGGAUGCCUCCCCUUCCUGCGAUGGGGGUCCUAAGAGCCAGGGGGGAAGAGGAGCUGGCUCUCAGUCCCCGCCUCGUGGGGGGUGCCUCCCCCCCUUUCGAUGGGGGUCCUAAGAGCCAGGAGCGGAAGAGGGGCUGGCUCUCUGUACCCGCCUCGUGGGGGGUGCCUCCCCGCCCUGUGAUGGGGGUCCUAAGAGCCAGAAGGCUUAGAGGGGCUGGCUCUCAGUCCCCGCCUCACGGGGGGUGCCUCCUCCCCCUGCGAUGGGAGUCAUAAGAGCCAGUGGGGGAAUAGGGGCUGGCUCUCAGUCACCGCCUCGCGGGGGGUGCCUCCUUUCCUUUCUUCAUAGACACAGUGACAGUCUGAUCUCUCUUUCUUUUCCCUACAGAUGGACACGCCCCCACUGAUAUUGUUUCUAAUGCAACGUGGGAGGGGAGGAUAUGACACGCGAUAUCGCAGGGAGUAGAAACACCCGUUUGAUAGUGUUCUUAAUAUUCAAGGAGGAAGAGGAUGAUGUUAUUCCCAAUACAGACGGGUGUACACCCUCUGUACACCGAGGGUGUACAGCCGUCUGUGAAGGAGUUCAUAAUAUCCUGAGGGGGAGAUGAUAUUACUCACAAUAUUGUAAACAGGCUGUGAGUCCACUGCGGAUCCUCAGAGCCAGGUGGGGAAGAGGGGCUGGCUGUCAGUCCCCUCCUCGGGGGGGGUGCCUCCCCCACUGCGAUGGGGGUCCCAAGAGCCAGUCGGGGAAGAGGGGCUGGCUCUCAGUCUCCGCCUCGAGAGGGGUGCCUCCCCCCACUGCGAUCGGGGUCCCAAGAGCCAGGGGGGGGAAGAGGGGCUGGCUCUCAGUCCCCGCCUCGUGGGGGGUGCCUCUCCCCCCUGCGAUGGUUGUCCCAAGAGCCGGGGGGGAAGAGGGGCUGGCUGUCAGUCCCCUCCUCGCGGGGGGUGCCUCCCCCACUGCUAUGGGGAUCCCAAGAGCCAGUGGGGGAAGAGGUGCUGGCUCUCAGUCUCCGCCUCGCGAGGUGCCUCCCCACCCUGCGAUCGGGGUCCCAAGAGCCAUGGGGGAAGAGGGGCUGGCUCUCUUUGUGGAUGAUUCUUUUUCCGUUCUCAGGCAGUUUUCUUUUUUCUUUCUUUUUUUUUUGAGUCUGAGUCUUGCUCUGUUGCCCAUGCUUUGCUCGAUCUCGGGUGACUGCAACCACUGCCUCCCAGGUUCAAGAGAUUCUCCUGCCUCAGCCUCCUAAGUAGCUGGGACUAGAGGCGUGUGUCACCACACCCAGCUAAUUUUUGUAUUUUUAGUAGAGAUGGGGUUUCACCAUGUUUGCCAGGAUGGUCUCUAUCUCCUGACCUUGGGAUCCACCCAGCCUCCCAAAAUGCUGGGAUUGCAGGUGCGAGCCACCGGGUCCAGCCUCUCAGGCGAUUUUCAUACCUGCAUACUCUGAUCACUACUCUGUUAAACAGUCAAGGAGGCUGAGUGCCACGUGCUGACAUCACUAAGAUCAAUACAGCAAACUCUGAAAGAUGGACAGAGAGAGAGGAGAUGGUCCUUUAUAAUGCAGUGUGAUCUGUGCUGCAAUAGAGAUGGAAGAGUGUUCUGAUCAGCUGGAAAACAACUCACAUGGGAAGCUGUACAGAAAUGAGUGGGGAAAGUUUUGGAAGCUAGAAGUUCAAAACGAGGUGUUGGCAGCACCAUGCUCUCUCUGAAGAUGCUAGGAAGAAUCUGCUCCAUGCCUUUCCAUUCGCUUCUGGGGUUUCCUGCAAGCCCUGACAUUCCUUGGCUUGUAGAUGCAUCACCCCAGUUUCCGCCCCCAUCAUCACAUGGCCUCCUCUCUGUGUGUGCCUCUCUGUUCCCUCUAUUCUUCUUCUAAGGACACCGACACCAGUCAUAGUGGAUUAAGGGUCCACUCCUAACUAAUUACAUCUGCAACAACCCUAUUUCCAAAUAAAGUCACAUUCUAAGA